rnacentral:rRNA from 1 species
UACGGAGGGAGCUAGCGUUGUUCGGAAUUACUGGGCGUAAAGCGCGCAUAGGCGGCUUUGUAAGUUAGAGGUGAAAGCCCGGGGCUCAACUCCGGAACUGCCUUUAAGACUGCAUCGCUUGAAUCCGGGAGAGGUGAGUGGAAUUCCGAGUGUAGAGGUGAAAUUCGUAGAUAUUCGGAAGAACACCAGUGGCGAAGGCGGCUCACUGGACCGGUAUUGACGCUGAGGUGCGAAAGCGUGGGGAGCAAACAGG